rnacentral:rRNA from 1 species
GAAAGCGUGGGGAGCAAACAGGAUUAGAUACCCUGGUAGUCCACGCCCUAAACGAUGUAUACCGGUUGUUGCUGUGCUAGUCACGGCAGUAAUCCACCUAACGGAUUAAGUAUACCGCCUGGGGAGUACGGUCGCAAGAUUAAAACUCAAAGGAAUAGACGGGGACCCGCACAAGCGGUGGAGCAUGUGGUUUAAUUCGAAGAUACGCGAAGAACCUUACCCGGACUUGAUAUCUAACAAAUCAUCCAGAGAUGGAAGAGUGUCUGCUUGCAGAAAUGUUAAGACAGGUGCUGCACGGCUGUCGUCAGCUCGUGUCGUGAGAUGUUGGGUUAAGUCCCGCAACGAGCGCAACCCACGUCAUUAGUUGCUAACGGUUCGGCCGAGCACUCUAAUGAGACUGCCUUCGUAAGGAGGAGGAAGGUGUGGACGACGUCAAGUCAUCAUGGCCCUUAUGUCCGGGGCGACACACGUGCUACAAUGGCAUAUACAAUAAGACGCAAUAUCGCGAGAUGGAGCAAAUCUAAAAAAUAUGUCCCAGUUCGGAUUGGAGUCUGCAACUCGACUCCAUGAAGCCGGAAUCGCUAGUAAUCGUAGAUCAGCCAUGCUACGGUGAAUACGUUCCCGGGUCUUGUACUCACCGCCCGUCACACCAUGGGAGUUGAUUUCACUCGAAGCGGGAAUGCGAAAUUCGCUACCCUCCACAGUGGAAUCAGCGACUGGGGUGAAGUCGUAACAAGGUAACCGUAGGAGAACCUGCGGUUG